rnacentral:rRNA from 1 species
UAGUCAUAUGCUUGUCUCAAAGAUUAAGCCAUGCAUGUCUAAGUAUAAACGACUUUAUACUGUGAAACUGCGUACAGCUCAUUAAAUCAGUAAUUAUUUAUUUGAUGGUACCUUACUACAUGGAUAACCGUAGUAAUUCUAGAGCUAAUACAUGCGCAAAAUCCCGACUCACGAAGGGAUGUAUUUAUUAGAUACAAAACCGCCGCUGGGGCAACUCAGCGUUUUUGGUGAAUCAUAGUAACUGAUCGAAUCGCAUGGCCUCGUGCCGGCGAUAGUU